rnacentral:rRNA from 1 species
CCUACGGGAGGCUGCAGUGGGGAAUAUUGGACAAUGGGGGGAACCCUGAUCCAGCCAUGCCGCGUGUGUGAAGAAGGCCCUCGGGUUGUAAAGCACUUUCAGUGAGGAAGAACGCCUGGUGGUUAAUACCCAUCAGGAAAGACAUCACUCACAGAAGAAGCACCGGCUAACUCCGUGCCAGCAGCCGCGGUAAUACGGAGGGUGCGAGCGUUAAUCGGAAUUACUGGGCGUAAAGCGCGCGUAGGUGGCUUGAUAAGCCGGUUGUGAAAGCCCCGGGCUCAACCUGGGAACGGCAUCCGGAACUGUCAAGCUAGAGUGCAGGAGAGGAAGGUAGAAUUCCCGGGGUAGCGGUGAACUGCGUAGAGACCGGGAGGAAUACCAGUGGCGAAGGCGGCCUUCUGGACUGACACUGACACUGAGGUGCGAAAGCGUGGGUAGCAAACAGGAUUAGAUACCCGAGUAGUC